rnacentral:rRNA from 1 species
AACGAACGCUGGCGGCAUGCCUAACACAUGCAAGUCGAACGAGACCUUCGGGUCUAGUGGCGCACGGGUGCGUACGGCGGGGGAAUCCGCCCUUAGGUUCGGAAUAACUCCCCGAAAGGGGUGCUAAUACCGGCUAAUGUCUCCGGCCAAAUGCUUUAUCGCCUUUGGAUGGGCUGGGGUUGGCUUAGCUGGUUGGUGGGGUAAAAGCCUACGAAGGCGACGAUCUGUAGCUGGGCCGAGAGGAGGAUCAGCAACACUGGGACUGAGACACGGCCCAGAAUCGUACGGGAGGCAGCAGUGGGGAAAUUUGGACAAUGGGCGAAAGCCUGAUCCAGCCAUGCCGAGUGGAGGAUGAAGGCCUUCGGGUGGUAAACUGAUUUUGUACGGAACGAAAAGCCUUCUUUUAAUACAGGAGGGUCAUGACGGUACCGUAAGAAUAAGCACCGGCUAACUACGU